GAGAACUCAAAUCUCAAAUUCAGAGGCGAAAUUCCUCUGCCGUACAGAAUCAAUGCCGGAAAGGAGAAAUCCCUCAGCGGUCUGUCAAACCGCAGGCAGUACGAGAGCUAAUACUCCACUGUGCGUUGUCUAUCUGUAAAUAGACAGGGUACAAAGCGUGGUGAAGUCGUAACCUGAAAACCUAAACCGAAAGGCAUGGAUAAUAAUGGUGCGGGCUUCCGAAAC
rfam:Subdoligranulum variabile DSM 15176 genomic scaffold Scfld0, whole genome shotgun sequence.